CACGUAGGGCGCAAGCGUUGUCCGGAAUUAUUGGGCGUAAAGAGCUCGUAGGUGGUUUGCUGCGUCCGCUGUGAAAACCCAAGGCUUAACCUUGGGCUUGCAGUGGAUACGGGCAGACUAGAGGUAGGUAGGGGAGAAUGGAAUUCCCGGUGUAGCGGUGAAAUGCGCAGAUAUCGGGAGGAACACCGGUGGCGAAGGCGGUUCUCUGGGCCUUACCUGACGCUGAGGAGCGAAAGCGUGGGGAGCGAACAGGAU
rnacentral:rRNA from 1 species